CUAGGAAUCUGCCUAGUAGUGGGGGAUAACGUCCGGAAACGGGCGCUAAUACCGCAUACGUCCUACGGGAGAAAGUGGGGGAUCUUCGGACCUCACGCUAUUAGAUGAGCCUAGGUCGGAUUAGCUAGUUGGUGAGGUAAUGGCUCACCAAGGCGACGAUCCGUAACUGGUCUGAGAGGAUGAUCAGUCACACUGGAACUGAGACACGGUCCAGACUCCUACGGGAGGCAGCAGUGGGGAAUAUUGGACAAUGGGCGAAAGCCUGAUCCAGCCAUGCCGCGUGUGUGAAGAAGGUCUUCGGAUUGUAAAGCACUUUAAGUUGGGAGGAAGGGCAGUUACCUAAUACGUGAUUGUUUUGACGUUACCGACAGAAUAAGCACCGGCUAACUCUGUGCCANCAGCCGCGGUAAUACAGAGGGUGCAAGCGUCAAUCGNAAUUACUGGGCGUAAAGCGCGCGUAAGUGGUUUGUUAAGUUGGAUGUGAAAGCCCCGGGCUCAACCUGGGAACUGCAUCCAAAACUGGCAAGCUAGAGUAUGG
rnacentral:rRNA from 1 species